GUCUACGGCCAUACCACCCUGAACGCGCCCGAUCUCGUCUGAUCUCGGAAGCUAAGCAGGGUCGGGCCUGGUUAGUACUUGGAUGGGAGAAAAAUUUCACAGAAGAACCAAGCCUUUGACU
rnacentral:rRNA from 1 species